rnacentral:misc_RNA from 1 species
GGAAGUAAAGUCGUAACAAGGGUUCCGUAGGUGAACCUGCGGAAGGAUCAUUAUUGUAUAACCGAGGUGCGAGGGCUGUCGCUGACCCGAAAGGUCGUGCACGCCCGAGUGCCCUCACACACAUCCAUCUCACCCCUAUGUGCACCACCGCGUGGGUCCCCCUUUGGCUUGUUCGGAGGGGGGCUUACGUUUUCACACAAACUUUGUAUGCAGUGUAGAAUGUAUUUUUUGUUUUUGCGAUCACGCAAUCAAUACAACUUUCAACAACGGAUCUCUUGGCUCUC